rnacentral:rRNA from 1 species
UACGUAGGCAGCAAGCGUUGUUCGGAAUUACUGGGCGUAAAGAGUGUGUAGGCGGUGUUCUAAGUCUGGUGUGAAAUCUCCCGGCUCAACUGGGAGGGUGCGCCGGAAACUGGAAUGCUCGAGUAUGGGAGAGGUAAGCGGAAUUCCUGGUGUAGCGGUGAAAUGCGUAGAUAUCAGGAGGAACACCUGUGGUGUAGACAGCUUACUGGACCAUCACUGACGCUGAGACACGAAGGCGUGGGUAGCAAACAGG